rnacentral:rRNA from 1 species
AGGACGAACGCUGGCGGCGUGCUUAACACAUGCAAGUCGAGCGGAAAGGCCCUUCGGGGUACUCGAGCGGCGAACGGGUGAGUAACACGUGAGUAAUCUGCCCCUAUGCUCUGGGAUAGCUCCGGGAAACCGGGAUUAAUACCAGAUACGACCACUUUAGACAUCUGUUGUGGUGGAAAGAAUUUUGGCUAGGGAUGAGCUCGCGGCCUAUCAGCUUGUUGGUGAGGUAACGGCUCACCAAGGCGACGACGGGUAGCCGGCCUGAGAGGGCGACCGGCCACACUGGGACUGAGACACGGCCCAGACUCCUACGGGAGGCAGCAGUGGGGAAUAUUGCGCAAUGGGCGAAAGCCUGACGCAGCGACGCCGCGUGGGGGAUGAAGGCCUUCGGGUUGUAAACCCCUUUCAGCAGGGACGAAGCGAAAGUGACGGUACCUGCAGAAGAAGCGCCGGCUAACUACGCGCCAGCAGCCGC